rnacentral:snoRNA from 1 species
CCAACAUGGAUAUCCUGUGAGGUCACUCCCUGGACACUGUCCAGGUGGCGCAGAGGAGCACAGGGCUCUAUCCCGUGCUGUAUAAUCCCUUUCCACACCAUUGGAAAUCAAGCCAGGCCUUGAGUCUGAGCCUGCAUAUUCCUGCAGCUUCUCAGAGACCUCUGAACAAUGACUGGGGAGACAAACAAUGCAGGAAACAGUU